rnacentral:rRNA from 1 species
AGUGAACGCUGGCGGCAGGCCUAACACAUGCAAGUCGAACGGCAGCACAGCAGUAGCAAUACUGUGGGUGGCGAGUGGCGGACGGGUGAGGAAUACAUCGGAAUCUACCUUGUCGUGGGGGAUAACGUAGGGAAACUUACGCUAAUACCGCAUACGAACUACGGUUGAAAGCGGCGGACUCGCAAGAGCGUCGCGCGAUUGGAUGAGCCGAUGUCCGAUUAGCUAGUUGGCGGGGUAAAGGCCCACCAAGGCGACGAUCGGUAGCUGGUCUGAUAGGAUGAUCAGCCACACUGGAACUGAGACACGGUCCAGACUCCUACGGGAGGCAGCAGUGGGGAAUAUUGGACAAUGGGCGCAAGCCUGAUCCAGCCAUGCCGCGUGUGUGAAGAAGGCCUUCGGGUUGUAAAGCACUUUUGUUGGGGAAGAAAAGCUACCGGUUAAUACCCGGGAGUUCUGACGGUACCCAAAGAAUAAGCACCGGCUAACUUCGUGC